GAGAAAUUUACAGAGGAAAAUUAUGGAUCAGUUAGGAAAGUGUAUGUGAUUUGCAGUGAAGACAUCACAAUCUCAAAGCAGUUCCAAAAAUGGAUAAUUCAGAAUUAUGGGUUUCAAAAUGUAAUGGAAAUUGAUGGAGCUGAUCACAUGCCUAUGUUUUCGAAGCCACUCCAAGUUUUCCAAUGCCUUCUUCAAGUAGCUUACAACUGCACUUAAAUCCUAGUUCUCCUUUUGUAUUAAUGUAUUAAUAAAAGCAUACGACUAA
rnacentral:misc_RNA from 1 species